CAGCCGCCACGGGAAUACGUAGGGCGCAAGCGUUGUCCGGAAUUAUUGGGCGUAAAGAGCUCGUAGGCGGUCUGUCGCGUCUGGUGUGAAAUCCCGAGGCUCAACCUCGGGCUUGCAUCGGGUACGGGCAGACUAGAGUGCGGUAGGGGAGACUGGAAUUCCUGGUGUAGCGGUGGAAUGCGCAGAUAUCAGGAGGAACACCGAUGGCGAAGGCAGGUCUCUGGGCCGCAACUGACGCUGAGGAGCGAAAGCAUGGGGAGCGAACAGGAUUAGAUACCCCUGUAGUCCCUGUCUCUUAUAC
rnacentral:rRNA from 1 species